CCCGCAUCAGAUUUUCUGGUGUAACGAAUUUACAAGUGCUUCUUGCUCUGGCAAGUUUCUGCCCGGCCCUGAUGGACCGGGCUUU
rnacentral:other from 1 species